CCUACGGGAGGCAGCAGUGGGGGAUAUUGCACAAUGGGCGAAAGCCUGAUGCAGCGACGCCGCGUGAGGGAAGACGGUCUUCGGAUUUUUAACCUUUGUCUUUGGGGAAGAAAAUGACGGUACCCAAAGAGGAAUCUCCGUCUAACUACGUUCCAGCAGCCGCGGUAAUACGUCGGGAGCAAGGGUUGUCCGGAAUUACUGGGAGAAAGGGGAGCGUAGGCGGGAUGGCAAGUAGAAUGUUAAAUCCAUCGGCUCAACCGGUGGCGGCGUUCUAAACUGCCGUUCUUGAGUGAAGUAGAGGCAGGCGGAAUUCCUGGUGUAGCGGUGAAAUGCGUAGAUAUUAGGAGGAACACCAGUGGCGAAGGCGGCCUGCUGGGCUUUAACUGACGCUGAGGCUCGAAAGCGUGGGGAGCAAACAGGAUGAGAUACCCUUGUAGUC
rnacentral:rRNA from 1 species